GAUGAACGCUGGCGGCGUGCCUAAUACAUGCAAGUCGAGCGAACGGACGAGAAGCUUGCUUCUCUGAUGUUAGCGGCGGACGGGUGAGUAACACGUGGAUAACCUACCUAUAAGACUGGGAUAACUUCGGGAAACCGGAGCUACUACCGGAUAAUAUUUUGAACCGCAUGGUUCAAAAGUGAAAGACGGUCUUGCUGUCACUUAUAGAUGGAUCCGCGCUGCAUUAGCUAGUUGGUAAGGUAACGGCUUACCAAGGCAACGAUGCAUAGCCGACCUGAGAGGGUGAUCAGCCACACUGGAACUGAGACACGGUCCAGACUCCUACGGGAGGCAGCAGUAGGGAAUCUUCCGCAAUGGGCGAAAGCCUGACGGAGCAACGCCGCGUGAGUGAUGAAGGUCUUCGGAUCGUAAAACUCUGUUAUUAGGGAAGAACAUAUGUGUAAGUAACUGUGCACAUCUUGACGGUACCUAAUCAGAAAGCCACGGCUAACUUCGUG
rnacentral:rRNA from 1 species